rnacentral:rRNA from 1 species
GAUGAACGCUGGCGGCGUGCCUAAUACAUGCAAGUCGAGCGAACUGAUUAGAAGCUUGCUUCUAUGACGUUAGCGGCGGACGGGUGAGUAACACGUGGGCAACCUGCCUGUAAGACUGGGAUAACUUCGGGAAACCGAAGCUAAUACCGGAUAGGAUCUUCUCCUUCAUGGGAGAUGAUUGAAAGAUGGUUUCGGCUAUCACUUACAGAUGGGCCCGCGGUGCAUUAGCUAGUUGGUGAGGUAACGGUUCACCAAGGCGACGAUGCAUAGCCGACCUGAGAGGGUGAUCGGCCACAAUGGGACUGAGACACGGCCCAGACUCCUACGGGAGGCAGCAGUAGGGAAUCUUCCGCAAUGGACGAAAGUCUGACGGAGCAACGCCGCGUGAGUGAUGAAGGCUUUCGGGUCGUAAAACUCUGUUGUUAGCGAAGAACAAGUACGAGAGUAACUGCUCGUACCUUGACGGUACCUAACCAGAAAGCCACGGCUAACUACGUGCCAGCAGCCGCAGUAACAC